rnacentral:rRNA from 1 species
UACGUAGGGUGCAAGCGUUGUCCGGAAUUACUGGGCGUAAAGAGCUCGUAGGUGGUUUGUCGCGUUGUUCGUGAAAACCGGGGGCUUAACCCUCGGCGUGCGGGCGAUACGGGCAGACUAGAGUACUGCAGGGGAGACUGGAAUUCCUGGUGUAGCGGUGGAAUGCGCAGAUAUCGGGAGGAACACCGGUGGCGAAGGCGGGACUCUGGGCCUACCCUGACGCUGAGGCGCGAAGGCGUGGGGAGCAAACGGG